rnacentral:rRNA from 1 species
ACUCAAAGGAAUAGACGGGGGCCCGCACAAGCGGCGGAGCAUGCGGAUUAAUUCGAUGCAACGCGAAGAACCUUACCUGGGUUUGACAUGGCCGCUAAUCCUGCAGAGAUGUGGGGUCCUUCGGGGGCGGUCACAGGUGGUGCAUGGCUGUCGUCAGCUCGUGUCGUGAGAUGUUGGGUUAAGUCCCGCAACGAGCGCAACCCUUGUUCGAUGUUGCCAGCGGUUCGGCCGGGGACUCAUCGAAGACUGCCGGGGUCAACUCGGAGGAAGGUGGGGAUGAGGUCAAGUCAUCAUGCCCCUUAUGUCCAGGGCUUCACGCAUGCUACAAUGGCCGGUACAAAGGGCUGCGAUACCGUGAGGUGGAGCGAAUCCCAAAAAGCCGGUCUCAGUUCGGAUCGGGGUCUGCAACUCGACCCCGUGAAGUCGGAGUCGCUAGUAAUCGCAGAUCAGCAACGCUGCGGUGAAUACGUUCCCGGGCCUUGUACACACCGCCCGU